ACGGGUGAGUAAUGCCUAGGAAUCUGCCUGGUAGUGGGGGACAACGUUUCGAAAGGAACGCUAAUACCGCAUACGUCCUACGGGAGAAAGCAGGGGACCUUCGGGCCUUGCGCUAUCAGAUGAGCCUAGGUCGGAUUAGCUAGUUGGUGAGGUAAUGGCUCACCAAGGCGACGAUCCGUAACUGGUCUGAGAGGAUGAUCAGUCACACUGGAACUGAGACACGGUCCAGACUCCUACGGGAGGCAGCAGUGGGGAAUAUUGGACAAUGGGCGAAAGCCUGAUCCAGCCAUGCCGCGUGUGUGAAGAAGGUCUUCGGAUUGUAAAGCACUUUAAGUUGGGAGGAAGGGUUGUAGAUUAAUACUCUGCAAUUUUGACGUUACCGACAGAAUAAGCACCGGCUAACUCUGUGCCAGCAGCCGCGGUAAUACAGAGGGUGCAAGCGUUAAUCGGAAUUACUGGGCGUAAAGCGCGCGUAGGUGGUUCGUUAAGUUGGAUGUGAAAUCCCCGGGCUCAACCUGGGAACUGCAUCCAAAACUGGCGAGCUAGAGUAUGGUAGAGGGUGGUGGGAAUUUCCUGUGUAGCGGU
rnacentral:rRNA from 1 species